rnacentral:tRNA from 1 species
GGUUCUGUAGUGUAGAGGUUAUCACACUGGAUUGUAUGUUCCUCCGUUCCGAUGUCUCAAUUAGGUUUCAUAGUCCACUAACAAAUUCUGCAGUUGACUCAGUUCCGAAAUCUUCCAGUAACCCCGGUUCGAACCCGGGCAGGACCU